UGUAUACCUGCCCCCCUGAUAUGUUCUGGAAUUGCUGCUGCUGCAGUCGCAGAAAGGAAGUAUUUCACUGCUGCUGUUGCAGUGUUUUUCUUGUUUCUUGUAGCACACUGUUUAGACAAAGCCCCCUCCCCACCGCUCUGCUUCCCUUCCCUUCCCCCAGCUCCUUGGCCAGUUUUCUUUUCUGAACCCCCUGAACUGAUUAAUUUCCUUGCACAUCUCUACUAUUCCUCAGUAAUUUUCUCCUUCUUAUUUCCCACCCUCCACUUAGAAUGAGGAAACUUCCUCAACAGCAGUGACCAGCAGAAAGGCUUUAAGUAAGAACUCUUCAUCUUUUCCUUUCUGGCUUGCAGGUGCCUGAGGCCAGCCAUUACCUUGAUCACAGAACAGUCUUCAUUGUGGGGAGCGCAGGCAGAGCAGACACCUGCUUGUACUUCUGGCAAGCUUUCAGGCUCCUGUACUUGGGGCUGGCUAAAAUUUCCUAUGUGAGGUCUCCAGGGUUCAAUCUCUGCCCGUGUGCCCAGUGUUCGGACCAUCUCACUGAUCGGGAGCACACAGAUGUGAGAACGUAGCAAGGCAUUGCUUAUGAAGAAAAUUCUGAGACAUUGAUUUCGUCACUCGGGCUGCUUUUUGGCCAUUCUAGUGCUGCAACCUGACAAGCCAUAGCAUCAACACCGGGGAAGGAAGAACUGUAUCAUCCUGCCUAACUCCAGGCUGAAGCUGCUGUGUGAGAAGGAAUCCAGCUGCACAAACUUCAACAGAAGUCAUGCCACACCACGUUGCUGUGCAAGAAUGUUCUCAUCCCUAUUUUCUCUGGGAUAUUUGAAAUCAUGAGAUUUGUAUGCAUGUUAAGACAUGCCGCUGCAGUAUGUGAUUGCACAAACCAUGCUGUUGUGUAUUCAGAGUCACAUACGUCUGCCCGAAUGACUGAAAUGAAGUAUUUGCUGCUUUCUACCUCAUUUAAACCUGCGGGAGCUGGUAGUGCUCAUCCUCCUCACACACUGAGGUAUCCACAUGUGCCACUCGCCAGCCUGGGGCUUCUUCUCCAAGCAAUGGCUGAGUAAAUCUCUUAAUAACAGAGCAAGUCCUCACAGAUUAUUGUGAUCAUAAUUUGGCUGACAUAGCCUUUAUUACUAAUGGCAAGGCUGGAAAUGGAAAACCCAGCUUGAUGCUCAGCUCCCUGCUGGAAAGUAAUAAAAUAAAGAGGAACAAAAUCCGUGAGUGUAUU
rnacentral:lncRNA from 1 species